AUGCCCUAAACUUAUGAGUAAGGAAAAUAAUGAUUUGGGGUGACACCUGAAUCCUCACUGCUAAUGUGAGACAAAGUUUUGAGCAGGUAAAGAUUGCCCCCAGGGUGACCCGCCUACCUUGUGGGAUGCCUGGGAGGCUCGAUCUGCCUG
rnacentral:snRNA from 1 species